UGAUGGUGCUUGCACCUGAUUGAUUUUGGUCGCCAACGAGUGGCGGACGGGUGAGUAACACGUAGGUAACCUGCCCAGAAGCGGGGGACAACAUUUGGAAACAGAUGCUAAUACCGCAUAACAGCGUUGUUCGCAUGAACAACGCUUAAAAGAUGGCUUCUCGCUAUCACUUCUGGAUGGACCUGCGGUGCAUUAGCUUGUUGGUGGGGUAACGGCCUACCAAGGCGAUGAUGCAUAGCCGAGUUGAGAGACUGAUCGGCCACAAUGGGACUGAGACACGGCCCAUACUCCUACGGGAGGCAGCAGUAGGGAAUCUUCCACAAUGGGCGCAAGCCUGAUGGAGCAACACCGCGUGAGUGAAGAAGGGUUUCGGCUCGUAAAGCUCUGUUGUUAAAGAAGAACACGUAUGAGAGUAACUGUUCAUACGUUGACGGUAUUUAACCAGAAAGUCACGGCUAACUACGUGCCAGCAGCCGCGGUAAUACGUAGGUGGCAAGCGUUAUCCGGAUUUAUUGGGCGUAAAGAGAGUGCAGGCGGUUUUCUAAGUCUGAUGUGAAAGCCUUCGGCUUAACCGGAGAAGUGCAUCGGAAACUGGAUAACUUGAGUGCAGAAGAGGGUAGUGGAACUCCAUGUGUAGCGGUGGAAUGCGUAGAUAUAUGGAAGAACACCAGUGGCGAAGGCGGCUACCUGGUCUGCAACUGACGCUGAGACU
rnacentral:rRNA from 2 species